AAAAUUGAAACAGAUAAAUAUAAAUCUAUACUCUUCUUUUUUUCACGUGUAAUAAAUAUUAUCGCUAAACGCCCAGCGUUUAGCCCCGCAAUUUUUUUUGAGCAUGUUUUUCGUCGUCUUUUUCUUUUCAUUAAAUUUUUCUUUUUGAAAUUUGUCUUCUUUCUUUUUCACCCACGCGUAACGGACAUUUCAAUUCACGAUCUCAGCGAUGUAAAAUUUACUCAUUUCUUUUCAUUUACUGUUCAAGAAAAUUCUUGCGCAGAUACUCAUCGGUUUCUGUUUUACCUUUUGAGGUUUUGAUUUUUUCCUUUCUAAAGAAUUGAUCGAGAGCGUUGAGACAAUCGGUUACUUGCAACGAGUGAAAAGAUGUUAAACUUCAUUAUAUUGAAUUGCGCACGAUAAUGUACUUUGGUUUGACCCGCCAACAAAAGUAUCGACAACAAAAACAAACGAGCCUAAGGACUGCGACUUCGAUUAUUAUGUACAAUUAUUAUUAUUACUAUUUUAUACCUGUUGCGGUGAAGUAUACUAAUAUCAUUAUCGUUAUAUAUCAUAUGUUUAAUACCAAAGCUAUUUAUUUUAUAUUCCAUUUUCUUCAUUUUUUUUCUUCAAUAUAUCGCGCUCAAGAAUCAAAGAAAUUUUUCUAAAAUUUUGUGAGGUGGAUUUAGCUUACGAAUUCUUCACCACACAGUAUUGUAUCACCGUUAUUUUUGCUUUUCUUUUUUUUCCUUUUUUUCCUCUUCCUCACGUGUAUCGCCGCGUUUCAUCUUUCACACUGUACUGUGAAAGGAGGUAUAAUUUCAUCGAGAUUUUUAUUCUUUGCGAUUAAUAGGUUUUUUGCUUUCCCUUUGCAAGAGCGAUACAAUGAAAAUUGAAUGAAACGAAUAAAAAACAAGACUGUAAUUUGAAGAAAAAGAAAAAAUGAAACGUUACAAAAUAUAACAAAGUGACUAAGUCAUGUGAGAGGUGAUAGGUAAGCAGAAUCCAUGGCGGUUAGUUGAGUAAUAUACAUUUGUUUGGAUUUAAUAAUAAUAAUAAUAAUAUUAUUAUGUUAUACGUAAUAUGUAACUAUUAAUAAUUAUGCUGUUAUAAUUUUUUUUUUUUAAUUAAUUAUUUAUUUAUUUAUUUAUUUUUCUUGUAAUUAUUGUAGUAACACACGGAUGACUAAGAAACUUUUGUAUUUGUAUUUUUUUUCAUUUUUUUUUUUUCGUUUAUAAUAUUCAUGUAUUUGUAAUAAAUAUUUAUAUACACGCACGUGGGAAACAUAUAUUAUAUGUAGAUGCUAUCGUUAUUAUCAUAAUUAUUAUUAUUCAUAUUUAUCAAUUUGUAGUUUACUGUAAUGUAUGUAUUUCAUUUUUUUUUUCAAUUAAUUAUUCAUUUGUUACCCAUAUAAUUCUUACGCGUUUCGCCAGAUAAAUUAUUGUGCUUUUU
rnacentral:misc_RNA from 1 species